GGCUUGACGGUGUAGUGGUAACACAUCCCUUUCAAUUAGGAGGUACGUCGACUUGACUUCAUGGGAAGUCCCUUGUUCGAAUCAAGGUCAGGCCA